UACGGAGGGGGCGAGCGUUAUUCGGAAUUAUUGGGCGUAAAGGGCGCGUAGGCGGCCUUGUAAGUCAAAGGUGAAAUCCCUCGGCUCAACUGAGGAACUGCCUUUGAAACUGCAAGGCUUGAGGCCGGGAGGGGGUAGCGGAAUUCCCAAUGUAGCGGUGAAAUGCGUAGAUAUCGGGAGGAACACCAAUGGCGAAGGCAGCUCGCUGGGACGUUACUGACGCUGAGACGCGAAAGCGUGGGGAGCAAACAGG
rnacentral:rRNA from 1 species